AGCAGCCGCGGUAAUUCCAGCUCCAAUAGCGUAUAUUAAAGUUGUUGCAGUUAAAAGCUCGUAGUUGAAUUUCGGGAUCAAUUUAUUGGUCGUGCUAUUGUACGUACUGGUAUUAUUGAUUUCUACCUUCUGACGAACCAUGAUGUCAUUAAUUUGGUGUCUUGGGGAAUCAGGACUGUUACUUAGAAAAAUUGAGUGUUUAAAGCAGGCUCACGCUUGAAUACAUUAGCAUG
rnacentral:misc_RNA from 1 species